CCUGGGUCUCCCACAUUGUAGGCGGGCGCUUUACUGGCUGAGCCACCAGGGAAGUCUGAAGGGCAGAGGUGGGAUUAACUGAGAUGCUAUCUUGUGUUUUACCUAGCUAUGUACCAUAUUCAAAAGCCCACUAUCACUGUGAACUUCUUCACACUGAGGCAUGAAUGCACACUGGGUUGAGUGUGUAACCUCUGGAGGCUGACUGCCUAGGUUCUAAUCUUGGCUCAUCACUUACUAGCUAUGUGACCAGAAGCAAGUUACUUAAUCUUCUAGUGCCUCAAAUAUUUUUCUGUGAAAUAAGGAUAAUGAUAGUUCCUCAAAGAGUUGAUGCGAUUCAGUGAAUUGAUAUAUGAAAGCACUUAAAAGCAGAAUUAAAUACUAGCUAUGAAGACAUUCCAUUUCUUUUUCCCACACUUCAUUAGAGUUGGUUUUUCCCAUUUCUUUCCAUAAUGAGUCACUUGGUGACUUUUAGUUAGGAAGUUGUAAACCUUUCUGGGAAUGUCAGAAUAAAGGGUAAGUAUGAUUUCCAUUUGCCAGUUUGUGAGAUGAGAAUUCAGGGAACAAAAGAAAUAAUACUUGGACAUGCCAGAGAAAAUGUAUACACAUUCAAAUGCUAAAAUCAAAAGCAGUCUUUCUCAGAUUCGUGCUUCAGCUUUUAUAUUACGAAGAAUAAAGAGAGGAAAUGUUUGGAAAAGAGAUCUUAGAUAUCAUCUAGCUUAACUCUUCCUUUAUUCAUUCUGCAGUGCUUUGUAACACAGAUGCCAGUGUCCAGUGUCACCUGCUUGGAAGCAACUAGACCUCUAAUUUUAAAUGUUGGACACAGCUUGGAUUACUCCCAUUUCACAGAGCACUACUCUUAAAAAGUUGAGAGUACAAAGUUUUUGCUGGAAUUCAUAUUGAUUAACGAUUGAGAGUCCCUUGGACUGCAAGAAGAUCCAACCAGUUCAUUCUAAAGGAGAUCAGCCUUGGGUGUUCUUUGGAAGGAAUGAUGCUAAAGCUGAAACUCCAGUACUUUGGCCACCUCAUGCAAAGAGUUGAGUCACUGGAAAAGACUCUGAUGCUGGGAGGGAUUAGGG
ensembl:lncRNA